UACGAAGGGGGCUAGCGUUGCUCGGAAUCACUGGGCGUAAAGCGCACGUAGGCGGCUUUCUAAGUCAGGGGUGAAAUCCUGGAGCUCAACUCCAGAACUGCCUUUGAUACUGGAGAGCUCGAGUCCGGAAGAGGUGAGUGGAACUCCGAGUGUAGAGGUGAAAUUCGUAGAUAUUCGGAAGAACACCAGUGGCGAAGGCGGCUCACUGGUCCGGUACUGACGCUGAGGUGCGAAAGCGUGGGGAGCAAACA
rnacentral:rRNA from 1 species